GCGGACUAGUGUAAUUAGUAACAUAUUCGGCUAAGCUUCGAAAGUUGGUGGGUGUAAUUCCGCCGUCCGCAGC
rnacentral:tRNA from 1 species